GCUUCCAGCGAACCUGUUCCCUCUCCCCACAUCCCCCGCCCUCCAUCUCCCCCGGCUCUGGGACCCUUCCCGCCGACCUCACCCCCACCCCCGGGAUGGAGCGGCUCGAGCCCGCCCGGAGCCCCCCGCGGCCGGGGUGACGGUCCCCCCACCCCUCUCCUGCCCGGCCCCCGCCUCGAGCACCAUGGGCCUGAGGGGUUCCCGGGGCGCCAGACGCUGAAGAUGACCGAUGCCGGAGAUUUGAUUGGACAGUUGAUGAUUGAAAGCUUUUAGGGGAUGCUAAUGAUGCGAAGGCCCAAGACAGUGAAGGGGAGAAGUUCAGUGACCCACGUGAAGGCACACAGCAAAUCAGUGGACCAGGAUACCAGGACCACAGGGCUCAGCCUGUGUCUGUGCCUUGGUUUUGCGUCUGCCCCCACCCUCCUACUAUACUGCCUGCCCCGGCGCCCACCAUCUGGGUUAUGAUUCCAGUGGCUUCUCUUCCAGGGGACAGAAGAAGGGUUCUAAGCUCUCUUGAGUCAUGGCUUCUUCAAAGCUCCGAGAACCCGUGGAUGAAGUUU
rnacentral:lncRNA from 1 species